AUUGAACGCUGGCGGCAGGCCUAACACAUGCAAGUCGAGCGAGCGGCGGACGGGUGAGUAAUGUCUGGGAAACUGCCUGAUGGCGGGGGAUAACUACUGGAAACGGUAGCUAAUACCGCAUACCAUCAGAUGUGCCCAGAUGGGAUUAGCUAGUAGGUGGGGUAAAGGCUCACAUAGGCGACGCUACCUAGCUGGUCUGCGAGGAUGACCAGCCACACUGGGACUGAGACACGGUCCAGACUCCUACGGGAGGCAGCAGUGGGGAAUAUUGCACAAUGGGCGCAGGCCUGAUGCAGCCAGGCCGCGUGUAUGAAGAAGGCCUUCGGGUUGUAAAGUACUUUCGGCGGGGAGGCGUUACCCACAGAAGAAGCACCGGCUAACUCCGUGCCAGCAGCCGCGGUAAUAC
rnacentral:rRNA from 1 species